GAUGAACGCUGGCGGCGUGCCUAAUACAUGCAAGUCGAGCGAACAGACGAGGAGCUUGCUCCUCUGACGUUAGCGGCGGACGGGUGAGUAACACGUGGCGAACCUACCUAUAAGACUGGGAUAACUUCGGGAAACCGGAGCUAAUACCGGAUAAUAUAUUGAACCGUAUGGUUCAAUAGUGAAAGACGGUUUUGCUGUCACUGAUAGAUGGAUCCGCGCCGCAUUAGCUAGUUGGUAAGGUAACGGCUUACCAAGGCGACGAUGCGGAGCCGACCUGAGAGGGUGAUCGGCCACACUGGAACUGAGACACGGUCCAGACUCCUACGGGAGGCAGCAGUAGGGAAUCUUCCGCAAUGGGCGAAAGCCUGACGGAGCAACGCCGCGUGAGUGAUGAAGGUCUUCGGAUCGUAAAACUCUGUUAUUAGGGAAGAACAAAUGUGUAAGUAACUAUGCACGUCUUGACGGUACCUAAUCAGAAAGCCACGGCUAACUACGUGCCAGCAGCCGCCGUAA
rnacentral:rRNA from 1 species